UCCUUUGGAUGAACAAAGAAAGUGCUUUCUUGACAUGGAAUCUGCUCCUGGUGAAGAUGCUAGGAA
rnacentral:pre_miRNA from 2 species